rnacentral:rRNA from 1 species
AUUGAACGCUGGCGGCAGGCCUAACACAUGCAAGUCGAGCGAGAGGCGGACGGGUGAGUAAUGUAUGGGGACUGCCCGAUAGAGGGGGAUAACUACUGGAAACGGUAGCUAAUACCGCAUACUAUCGGAUAACCCAUAUGGGAUUAGCUAGUAGGUGGGGGAAUGGCUCACCUAGGCGACGAUCCCUAGCUGGUCUGAGAGGAUGAUCAGCCAAACGGGAACUGAGACAAGGCCCAGACUCCAAGGGAGGUAGCAGGGGGGAAGAUUGCAAAAGGGGCGCAAGCCGGAUGCAGCCAUGCCGCGUGUAUGAAGAAGUCCCUAGGGGUGUAAAGUACUUUCAGUCGGGAGGCGUUACCGACAGAAGAAGCACCGGCUAACUCCGUGCCAACAGCCGCGGUAAUUC